GAAUAGUUCUGUGUGAACGGUGCAAGGAGCAGGCGGCAAUUUAUGUCCGGGCCGACGAAAUCUUCACCGCCGCGGCUCAACAUCAUAUAAUAAUAAAAAUACAAGAAGACAACAAAAAUUUGAAGUGGAAGCGGGGGAGAAAGAGAGACGAAAGAAGAACGAUUACUUCCACCACGGAGGCGGCCAAAUUAUCAAUCCAUUCUCCUCCUCUUCUUUUCAUUCUUUAGGGCUCUUCUUUCCUUAGGGUUAGGGCAUCAUGGCGGCGGGGGCGGGGGCGGGGGGGCCGUCCCCUGGCCCCGUUGGCGGGGAGGAGCAGGUGCAGGUGCGGCGGAGGACACUGGAGGCGGUGCUGGAGCAGUGCCGGCGGGCCCUCGAUUUGCUCCAGGACGCCGACCUCGACACGGAUCCCGCCAGGGAUGCGGCGGCGGGGGAGGGGGAGGGUUCGACGCCGCGCUCGCUUUCUACCGUUGAUCAGGAGCUCGAUGAGCUGUGUGAUCUUCUCAAGUCUAAAGUUGAAUCAUCUGACUUUCUUGAAAAGCUUGGGAGCAACGACAAGUCAGUUCCUCACAAUAUGUCUGAUGAGAAUGCAUCUUGGGCUAUGGUUAGCACGACAGAUUUGUGGGAAGAUAAGCACAUUGGUGGGGAUGAUGGAUCAGAUCCAGAUGGUUAUGUUCUUGUCAGGCAAGAGGACAUAGUGGAGGGGAUUGCUUGCUUCACGGCUGCAUGCCUAUUAUCACUGAAACAAACUAAAUUUCAUUUUGCAGGAAUUAACUCCCAAUCAAAUUCAAGAAGCCCUCAGCAAGACAUUCUCUGUGAAAAAGAAGAAAAGUAGACUUCAGAAGGCAUGGGAUGGAGGCAAAGUUAUUUAUAAUCUGGCUUCCUGGAGUGCAACUGCUAUUGGCAUAUGCCAGAAUCCAGCAAUGCUUAAAGCCGCCUCUGCAGCCUUUUGGUCAUCCUGCCGUGUAAUAUCAAAGGUAAUAUGAAACUUUGCUGUAAUUAUUUGGGGAAGAUGUGAUACCGGAGGGAUUUGGCAUUCUGCGGAGUAUCCAUUACCUUGCCUUGUCAGGGUCUCUGAAGAGAAGCUGUUUCAAGGUCCUUCAUAGAGCGCCCAGUAUUGACACUCAUUGCUUAUUGUUUGGAAAACUCCGAUACUCCAAAGCUUUCACAGAGCUCCUGGAGAUCCCAAAGAUGUAAAAUGUUCAACCCUUGAUUGUUCUUUCACAGUUCAUUGUACAUACCUCAACUAGUUAUAUUUGUGAAACAACUGUAAAUAUUUCAUUCUUUAUGGAUAUUUAAUACUCCUUUAUCUGAAACAUAUGGUUUGAGUUCAC